rnacentral:rRNA from 1 species
UGGGGAAUAUUGCACAAUGGGCGCAAGCCUGAUGCAGCCAUGCCGCGUGUAUGAAGAAGGCCUUCGGGUUGUAAAGUACUUUCAGUCGGGAGGAAGGUGUCAAGGUUAAUAACCUUGGCAAUUGACGUUACCGACAGAAGAAGCACCGGCUAACUCCGUGCCAGCAGCCGCGGUAAUACGGAGGGUGCAAGCGUUAAUCGGAAUUACUUGGCGUAAAGCGCACGCAGGCGGUUGAUUGAGUCAGAUGUGAAAUCCCCGGGCUUAACCCGGGAAUUGCAUCUGAUACUGGUCAGCUAGAGUCUUGUAGAGGGGGGUAGAAUUCCAUGUGUAGCGGUGAAAUGCGUAGAGAUGUGGAGGAAUACCGGUGGCGAAGGCGGCCCCCUGGACAAAGACUGACGCUCAGGUGCGAAAGCGUGGGGAGCAAACAGG